rnacentral:lncRNA from 1 species
AAUAUUAUUAUAGAUAGAGAUAAACUGUAAACAGCAAUAAUGUUCAGCAAAGAAAGAUCUACAAUUAAGUCAAACAUGACCAAAAUUUUCAAAUGACCCUUUAAGAAGUUAUAGCCCUUUAUAGUCAAUUUUUAACAAUUUUCAUAAAUUUUUGUAAAUUUUUGUAAAUUUUUAGAAAAUAUUUUCCACUGUAAUUACUGGGCCAAGUUUAUUAUAGAUAUAGAUAAUUGUAGCAACAAGAAUGUUCAGUAAACUAAGAUCUACAAACACAUCUCCAUCGUCAAAAC